CCCACAUCCUCGUGGAUACUAGCUAGGACUAAACUCCCACAGAAAGUCAGAAAAUAGAAACUCUUUUUUCAGCUGCACCCAGUUCUUUCUACAAAGAGUGAACACGAAGGAGUUCCUGCCAUGGCUCAGCAGUUAACGAA